GACAGAGGUCCCGAGCGUUAGGCGGAAUCACUGGGCUUAAAGCGUGUGUAGGCGGAUCGUUAAGUGCCUUGUGAAAUCCCACGGCUCAACCGUGGAACUGCUUGGCAUACUGGCGGUCUUGAGCAACCUAGGGGCGAGCGGAACAAAUGGUGGAGCGGUGAAAUGCGUAGAUAUCAUUUGGAACGCCAAUGGUGAAAACAGCUCGCUGGGGGUUUGCUGACGCUGAGACACGAAAGCCAGGGGAGCAAACGGG
rnacentral:rRNA from 1 species